rnacentral:rRNA from 1 species
GACGACGCUGGCGGCGUGGAUAGGCAUGCAAGUCGAACGGUAUCAUCCUUUCGGGGGUGAGAGAGUGGCGAACUGGUGAGUAACACGUAGGUUAUCUACCCUCAAGACGGGGACAACCCAGGGAAACUUGGGCUAAUACCGGAUGUGAGCAACUUUUAGUUGUUUGAAAGGUGGCGUAAGCUGUCGCUUGGGGAUGAGCCUGCGUCCUAUUAGUUAGUUGGUGAGGUAACGGCUCACCUAGGCAAUGAUAGGUAGGCGGCCUUAACGGGUGGUCGCCCACACUGGGAUUGAGAUACGGCCCAGACUCCUACGGGAGGCAGCAGUCGAGAAUAGUCUACAAUGGUCGGAAGACUGAUAGUGCGACGCCGCGUGAACGAUGAAUCCCUUCGGGGUGUAAAGUUCUUUUAUAUGUGAGCAGUGCUUCUUAUAUUAACAGUAUGGGGAGAGAGAUAUUAGCAUAUGAAUAAGCAACGGCUAACUCCGUG